rnacentral:rRNA from 1 species
CGGGGUGUAUAAAGCGGCGGACGGGUGAGUAAUGCCUAGAAAUCUGCCUUAUAGUGGGGGACAACCAACCGAAAGGUUGGCUAAUACCGCAUAAUAUCUACGGAUUAAAGGGGCUUUCGGGUCUCGCUAUAGGAUGAGUUAGGUAGGAUUAGCUAGUUGGUGAGGUAAUGGCUCACCAAGGCGACGAUCCUUAGCUGGUCUGAGAGGAUGAUCAGCCACACUGGAACUGAGACACGGUCCAG